CAGAAUAUGAUUGAAAGCAUUUUCAGUCGUUUUACUGCCGAUUCACGCUGGGCGUCAACGCCACCACUUGACGGAGGUUGUGUCUGAAGUUAGGGCUAAUGAUAUUAGUCUGCAAUCAACUAAUGUCUGAGCUGGGGUAUUUGCAUGAAGCGAUCUGAUUGGCUGAUGCUUCCGCUGGCACUUGAAAAGUUGAGAACUUGCCAACUUCUGCAGCCCUCAACGCCACUGAAGUAGCCUGACGAAUCUACAUUUCAGUUUGGCAACGUUUGACAUCACCCAUUCAAAUGGGUGUGAAUGGGAAGCGUUGACGCUGACAUUUGAAUGAGGCAUUAGUGUGAAUGACUGAAAGAAUUGAAAACAAUAGUGUGGACAUGGAGCAUUUUCAGAAGAAAACUCCAUUUUCAAUUUUAUCCAGAUUAGUGUGAACGCACAGUAAGGCCAUAUCCACAUGUACACAGGUAUUUUUAUGAACUAAUUUUUCACUCCUUUCGUUUAAAA
ensembl:processed_transcript